UACAGAGGGGGCAAGCGUUGUUCGGAAUUACUGGGCGUAAAGGGCGCGUAGGCGGCCGCCUAAGUCAGACGUGAAAUCCCUCGGCUCAACCGGGGAACUGCGUCUGAUACUGGGUGGCUUGAAUUCGGGAGAGGGAUGCGGAAUUCCAGGUGUAGCGGUGAAAUGCGUAGAUAUCUGGAGGAACACCGGUGGCGAAGGCGGCAUUCGGGACUGCACCUGACACUGAAGCACGAAAGCCAGGGGAGCAAACGGG
rnacentral:rRNA from 1 species